CUACGGGGCGCACCAGUGGGGAAUAUUGGACAAUGGGGGAAACCCUGAUCCAGCAAUGCCGCGUGAGUGAAGAAGGCCUUCGGGUUGUAAAGCUCUUUUGGCAGGGACGAUUAUGACGGUACCUGCAGAAUAAGCCCCGGCUAACUUCGUGCCAGCAGCCGCGGUAAUACGAAGGGGGCUAGCGUUGUUCGGAAUUACUGGGCGUAAAGGGCGCGUAGGCGGCUAUAUAAGUCAGAUGUGAAAGCCUUGGGCUUAACCUGAGAACUGCAUUUGAUACUGUAUAGCUAGAGGCCGAGAGAGGAUAGUGGAAUUGCUAGUGGAGAGGUGAAAUUCGUAGAUAUUAGCAAGAACACCAGUGGCGAAGGCAGCUAUCUGGCUCGGUUCUGACGCUGAGGCGCGAAAGCGUGGGGAGCAAACAGGAUUAGAUACCCUUGUAGUC
rnacentral:rRNA from 1 species